GAGCGGGGGCGAGGCCGCCGCGUUAUCUGGGUCACCGGGGUUAGAAGGAGCGGCCGAUAGGACCGGGGGAGCUGCGCUCCGCUGCUGCGGAGAUAGAGCAGCGAUCCGGGCCGGGCGGGCACCGCGCGGUUGGGAGGGAGGAGGGAGGGAGGGAGAGAGGGAGGGAGGAGGAGGAGACGGCGGCUCGUUCCGGCUCCCGAGCCGAGCCCAGCGGGGGGAUGAAGCGGACGGCCGCGUCCCGCUCCGGCUGCAUCACACGCGUUCCCACCGAAUCCUAUGUGGCGGCACGCACUCCCUGUAACAUUUCAUUAACAGCCCCCUUGAUAUAUUGAUUUUUAAUAUUUGUAUUAAAUGUUGUGUAAAAUUGAACUCGGGCGUUAGGAGAGAUUGUGCGAGUCACAAGACGUGCCUCCUACUUAAUUGUUAUUUUUUGCGGUCCUGGAACAACAGUUGGAAAGAGGCCAGGAGGAGAAGCCGGAAAAAAAAAAGAAGAAACCUCCCCGGAGGGGAUCGGGGGAGACGGGCACGGAGCGCGGGGCCGCGCAGCGCGGGCAGCGACU
ensembl:lncRNA